rnacentral:rRNA from 1 species
UACGAAGGGUGCAAACGUUGCUCGGAAUUAUUGGGCGUAAAGCGCACGUAGGCGGCUUGGCAAGUCGGAUGUGAAAUCCCUCGGCUCAACCAAGGAAGUGCAUCCGAAACUGCUGAGCUUGAGUACUUAAGGAGGAUCGCGGAAUUCCCGGUGUAGAGGUGAAAUUCGUAGAUAGUCGGGAGGAACACCAGUGGCGAAGGCGGCCGGGCUGGGGGUGACCU